UGGUUGAUCCUGCCAGAGGUUACUGCUAUCGAGGUUCGACUAAGCCAUGCGAGUCGAAUGUAGCAAUACAUGGCGUACUGCUCAGUAACACGUGGACAACCUACCCUUGGGACGGGGAUAAACCCGGGAAACUGGGUAUAAUACCCGAUAGAUCUCGGAAGCUGGAAUGCAUCGAGAUCGAAAGCUCCGGUGCCCAAGGAUGGGUCUGCGGCCUAUCAGGUAGUAGUGGGUGUAGCGUACCUACUAGCCUACGACGGGUACGGGUUGUGAGAGCAAGAGCCCGGAGAUGGAUUCUGAGACACGAAUCCAGGCCCUACGGGGUGCAGCAGGCGCGAAAACUUUACAAUGCUGGAAACAGCGAUAAGGGGACCUCGAGUGCCAGGUUACAAAUCUGGCUGUCGUAAUGCCUAAAAAGCAUUUCAUAGCAAGGGCCGGGCAAGACCGGUGCCAGCCGCCGCGGUAACACCGGCGGCUCGAGUGGUAACCGUUAUUAUUGGGUCUAAAGGGUCUGUAGCCGGCCGGAUAAGUCUCUUGGGAAAUCUGGCAGCUUAACUGUCAGGCUUUCAGGGGAUACUGUCUGGCUCGAGGCCGGGAGAGGUGAGAGGUACUUCAGGGGUAGGGGUGAAAUCUUGUAAUCCUUGAAGGACCACCAGUGGCGAAGGCGUCUCACCAGAACGGACCUGACGGCAAGGGACGAAAGCUAGGGGCACGAACCGGAUUAGAUACCCGGGUAGUCCUAGCCGUAAACGAUACUCGCUAGGUGUCGGCCACGGUGCGACCGUGGUCGGUGCCGUAGGGAAGCCGUGAAGCGAGCCACCUGGGAAGUACGGCCGCAAGGCUGAAACUUAAAGGKAUUGGCGGGG
rnacentral:rRNA from 1 species